AAGAGAAAUUGCCCUUUAGGGUAGAUUUCCCACCCUAUGUUUACACUACCUUUGUUGCUUUGGCAGGCCCGUCUCUUGACCGCUGGCUUAGGCUGGUCAGUGCCUGCCAGAGAACUCCAAAUUCUUGAUUAUUUUGUUGUCUGAGUAACAUUACAAUAAGUUA
rnacentral:misc_RNA from 1 species